rnacentral:rRNA from 1 species
GGUUAAGCGACUAAGCGUACACGGUGGAUGCCCUGGCAGUCAGAGGCGAUGAAGGACGUGCUAAUCUGCGAUAAGCGCCGGUAAGGUGAUAUGAACCGUUAUAACCGGCGAUUUCCGAAUGGGGAAACCCAGUGUGAUUCGUCACACUAUCAUUAACUGAAUCCAUAGGUUAAUGAGGCGAACCGGGGGAACUGAAACAUCUAAGUACCCCGAGGAAAAGAAAUCAACCGAGAUUCCCCCAGUAGCGGCGAGCGAACGGGGAGGAGCCCAGAGCCUGAAUCAGCAUGUGUGUUAGUGGAAGCGUCUGGAAAGGUGCGCGAUACAGGGUGACAGCCCCGUACACAAAAGCGCAUGUGCUGUGAGCUCGAUGAGUAGGGCGGGACACGUGGUAUCCUGUCUGAAUAUGGGGGGACCAUCCUCCAAGGCUAAAUACUCCUGACUGACCGAUAGUGAACCAGUACCGUGAGGGAAAGGCGAAAAGAACCCCGGCGAGGGGAGUGAAAAAGAACCUGAAACCGUGUACGUACAAGCAGUGGGAGCACCCUUCGGGGUGUGACUGCGUACCUUUUGUAUAAUGGGUCAGCGACUUAUAUUCUGUAGCAAGGUUAACCGUAUAGGGGAGCCGUAGGGAAACCGAGUCUUAACCGGGCGUUAAGUUGCAGGGUAUAGACCCGAAACCCGGUGAUCUAGCCAUGGGCAGGUUGAAGGUUGGGUAACACUAACUGGAGGACCGAACCGACUAAUGUUGAAAAAUUAGCGGAUGACCUGUGGCU